UACGGGGGGGGCAAGCGUUGUUCGGAAUUACUGGGCGUAAAGGGCGCGUAGGCGGUCAGAUAAGUCUGAUGUGAAAGCCCACGGCUCAACCGUGGAGGGUCAUUGGAAACUGGGGGACUUGAGUGCAGGAGAGAAGAGUGGAAUUCCACGUGUAGCGGUGAAAUGCGCAGAUAUCAGGAGGAACACCAAUGGCGAAGGCAGCUCGCUGGGACGGUACUGACGCUGAGACGCGAAAGCGUGGGGAGCAAACAGG
rnacentral:rRNA from 1 species